CGCCUGUUUAUCAAAAACAUGUCCUCUUGUUAUUUAUUUGAGGUCUAACCUGCCCAAUGAGUUUAACUUGAAUGGCCGCGGUAUUUUAACCGUGCUAAGGUAGCAUAAUCAUUUGUUUUUUAAUUGAGGGCUAGAAUGAAUGGUUGGACGAAGCAUUAGCUUUCUUUAAUUUAAAUAAUGAAUUUAAUUUUUUGGUUAAAAAGCCAAAAUGUUUUUAUGGGACGAGAAGACCCUAUAGAUCUUUAUAUUUUACUUUCUUUUGUUAUUUAGUUUUGUUAUAUAAUGUAAUUAAGGGGAAUAUUUAAUUGGGGUGAUUUCAGAAUUUUAUUAACUUCUGUUUUUUGAUUCAUUAAUUUAUGUUUUUAUGAUCCAUUUUUUGUGAUUUUAAGAUUAAGUUACCUUAGGGAUAACAGCGUAAUUUUUCCGGAGAGUCCGUAUUGAUGGAGGAGUUUGCGACCCUCGAUGUUGGAUUAAAAUUAGUAGUAGGCGCAGUUGCAUACUUACUAGGUCUGUUCGACCUUUAAUUUUUUACAUGAUCUGAGUUCAAACCGGAG
rnacentral:rRNA from 1 species